ensembl:lncRNA novel transcript
GAAGUCAGAGACUGCAUCAGAGAAAAACUGGCAUACAAAAGAUUCUGCUGAGUACUGAAGGCAAAAUUGGACUGAGCCAGAUGAAAGAGUAUUAUAAUAAUAAGAGUGGUCCCAGCAGAGAAGACAACACUUGAGGAAGAAGAAAGUAUGACUGAUAAUAUGCUCACGGCCCUGCAAAUGAACAAUUGAAGUUUUUAGUUUAACUUGUCCAGGAUUACGUAGCUACAUGACCAAGAUGGAUUCAAAACCUGGUCUUAGGAUGCCAAGGCCAAUGGCUUUCUUUAUUUCAAGCUGACAUUUGGGUCCAUUUGUGUAAGACCUUCUCCAGAAAAGGUCCCAGUCUAUACCCCCGGGAGAAGAAAUGCUGAUUUCACAAAGCUUCCAUAAAAACUCAAGAGGAAUGGGUUCCAGAGCUUCUGGAAGCCUGAAGAUGUGGAAGACUCUGGAGGGUGGUGCACUCAGGAAGGGCAUGGAAGUUUUGCACAGCUGUCUCCAUGCCUCAUCCUCCACAUGUCUUUACAUCUGUAUCCUUUAUAAUAUCCUUUACAAUAAACCAG